rnacentral:rRNA from 1 species
CUGCCCAAUGAGGAUUUAAAUGGCCGCAGUAUUUUGACUGUGCAAAGGUAGCAUAAUUAUUAGUUUUUUAAUUGAAAGCUUGUAUGAAGGGUUGGACGAGAUGAAAUCUGUCUUUAUUUAAAUUAAAAUAUAAUUUAACUUUUAAGUAAAAAGGCUUAAAUGUUUAUAAAAGACGAGAAGACCCUAUAGAUCUUUAUUUAAUUAAAAUUUUAAUAAUUUAGGAUUAUUUUAAUUUAAAGUUUUAAUUAAAUUWUAUUGGGGUAAUAUAAAGAUUAAAUAAAUUCUUUUUAUUUAUAACAUUGAUUUAUGAAUAUAUGAUCCAUUAAUAUUGAUUAUAAGAUUAAGUUACCUUAGGGAUAACAGCGUAAUUUUUUUGGAGAGCUCAUAUCGAUAAAAAAGUUUGCGACCUCGAUGUUGGAUUAAAAAUUAGCUUGGGUGCAGAAGCUCAAGAUUUUGGUCUGUUCGACCAUUAAAUUUUUACAUGAUCUGAGUUCAGACCGGCGUGAGCCAGGUCGGUUUCUAUCUUUAUUAAGAUAAAAUGUUUUAGUACGAAAGGACCAAAUAUUUAAUAUAAUUAUAUUUAUUUUUUGAAGAAUAUU